rnacentral:lncRNA from 1 species
CUCAUACUUGGAGACACUUGUUGUUUAACAACCAAUUUCUUCAUCAUUAAGCACCAAGCACGACCCACCAAUAAUUAAGACUCUUUAUAUAGCCCCUAAAUAAGAUGUUUAACCUCCCAAAUAAAUCCUUAAGUGACCCCAAGUGAAAGAAAGGCAGAGGAAACAAAGGGAGAUAGAAAACGAGAAACUGGGGUUGGAAGUUUGAGCAGGUGAGUAUAACUCACGGUUUUUGAAGAUUUCUUUAAUUCCUUUGGGUGUUUUAUAACCUCUUAAACCUUUGGAUUUGGUUGAUAUCAUGUCUGAAUGUUUUGAUGAUUUAAUGAUAACAAAAGGGGAGUAAUUGUUUACAAGAAUUUGAGUGAAACAGCCAAAUACCGAAAUUGAAUAGUUGCUAGAUUUUACUUGUUUCACAUUUGGUGUUAUAUAAUAUUUUGAAUGGAACACAUAUAUAUCACUUUGAAUGUUUGUAUAUAGGAGUUGUAAGUAUAGAAAUGAUUUUUAAUGACCUAGAAUCUGAUUUGAUCGCAUGCUAAUACAAAGGAAACUGAAAACAUUCAUAGGGAAAUUUCUUGAUUUGGUAUUUUGUAAAAUGGAUUGCCUUUGAAGUUUUAAAUCCUUCACUUGUGGAAACUUUAGGGCAUGAUUACCUUUACAUACAUGUCAUAGAAGUGUGUUAAAAAUUUGAAAAUUAAUGGAUAUGGUUAAGAGGGUGAAAAGGGAUUGGAAAAAUAAGUGGACGUUAAUGUAAACCUGAAAAAUAGAUUCUGUUCAUUUGAAUAUUUGAAUCUUUACAUGUUCAUUUGUUAUCUCUUAGGCUUGGAAAUAAAUUUUAAGGAGUCCUAAGUUGUUGACAACAAUUAGGUGAUGUUGACACACAUAAUUGAACUCAAGAAAUAGUGACUUUUAUGGGACUAUUGUAUAGUGUGAUCAAUAACUUGAAAUGAUCGCACCAUCUAAAUUAUUUCCGCACGAAUGGAUUUAGUACGGGAUUGUGUAUAUGUUAAGAUUAUCCAAUCUAGGGCCGUGUUUAAUAGUAGAUGGUAAUACAGAUUAUCUUCUGAUGUUAGAUGAAAGGGGGACUUAAAC